rnacentral:ncRNA from 1 species
AAAAGACUUAGUCCUAACCUUACUGUUAAUUUUUGCCUGACAUAUACAUGCAAGUAUCCGCGUUCCAGUGUAAAUGCCCUCAAACGUCUUGCUAAGACAAGAGGAGCGGGUAUCAGGCACACUCACAAUUGUAGCCCAAGACGCCUUGCUCAGCCACACCCCCACGGGUACUCAGCAGUAAUUAGUAUUAAGCAAUGAGUGCAAACUUGACUUAGUUACAGCAACCCUUAGGGUCGGUAAAUCUUGUGCCAGCCACCGCGGUCACACAAGAGACCCAAAUUAAUUGUACUGCGGCGUAAAGAGUGGUAUCAUGCUAUCGUUACAACUAAGAUCAAAGUACAACCAAGCCGUCAUAAGCUUAAGAUGCAACUAAGACCACCCUUAAAACGAUCUUAGCCCAAUCGACUGAUUGAACCCCACUAAAGCUAGGACACAAACUGGGAUUAGAUACCCCACUAUGCCUAGCCCUAAAUCUUGAUGCCUACCCUACCUAAGCAUCCGCCCGAGAACUACGAGCACAAACGCUUAAAACUCUAAGGACUUGGCGGUGUCCCAAACCCACCUAGAGGAGCCUGUUCUAUAAUCGAUAAUCCACGAUACACCCAACCACCCCUCGCCAGCACAGCCUACAUACCGCCGUCGCCAGCUCACCUCGCCUGAGGGACCUACAGUGAGCACAAUAGCCGCAAAUCCCGCUAACAAGACAGGUCAAGGUAUAGCCUAUGGGGUGGAAGAAAUGGGCUACAUUUUCUAAGAUAGACUAGAUCAACGGAAAGAGGUGUGAAAUCACCUUUAGAAGGCGGAUUUAGCAGUAAAGUGAGAUAAUUAAGCCCCCUUUAAGCCGGCCCUGGGACACGUACAUACCGCCCGUCACCCUCCUCACAAGCCACAAACACUAAUAACUAAUAUGUCCGUUAGCCGAAGAUGAGGUAAGUCGUAACAAGGUAAGUGUACCGGAAGGUGCACUUAGCACACC